UUGGCCAGGCUAUGAGAAGUUGCAAUGUGCUAGUUCCUGUCUAGUUCAAAGCAGGGUGACACCAAGGUUGGGUUAGUGCUGGUGUGGUUUGCUUUAAGUCUAGGGAGGGUGUUUAGCUCUGGGAGCAGGAAGUAUUCUGGCUUUCCUUGGGAGAGAUCUUGGCCACCCUGCCUUUUCCUCAGACAUGUACCCCAUGCAGUCAAGAGGUUUCACUGCUGCUUCUCCUCCUUCUCUCUUGGGCAUAUGGUACAGGUAUGGCAGCAUCUCCAGAAGUCUUCCCCCGCCUCCAUAUCUCCCAAAUGAGAUAAAACUAAUGAACCCCGACCAUGGGCGCUGCUGCCUGAGAAGCGCGGAUGGGGAAGCCUCUGCUGCUGUCACGGGUGGCUGCAGCAAUUCCCAGUGCUCCUUCGUGCUUUGGGAAAGUAGAGGAGAUUUUCAUGGAAGAGCUUCCUAACUGGGGCUGAUAGAAACCUGGAGAGGUGGCUCGUUUCUCUCUUUACCCAGAUUAUCUUCCAUGCGAUUGAAGUCAUCACAGAAAAUAGCUUUGUUGUUACAGCUUCUGUCGUCAAUACUCGCCUCCUAUUUGCAUUCCCAGAGCUCCCACCUUCAUCCUCAUCACUUCCUCUCUUCAGAAUUAUAACAAA